GAUUAAUAUUUUUUUCAGAAUUCCUUUAAAAAACUCCAUGAUUUAAACAUUCAAAGAGGUUUUAGCAGUCAGGAAAAUAUUAAAAAAAUUAGUGGAUUGAAAUAACAAGCAUUUGCUAUUGCUGAAGAGACUAGAGGUCAGUGGGAAGUGCCACAGGGCUUGGUUAUGCUACAGUUGGUAUGUCAGCUGCUAGUUAGUUGCUUUGUAAUGGCCUUGGCUGGGUCAGCAGGGACUUUAAUCCACAUCAUUUUUCAUGCUCCAACAGAUUAGCCUGGACUUCCUAUCACGGUAGUGGUGAUGUUUGAAGAGACAGAGAGUAGAAGUAUGUAAGACAUCUUGAAACUUCAACUCAGAACUUGUGAUGACUUCUAUCAUCUAAAGUAAGGGGACAGUUAGCCCAGAUUUAAGGUUGGGUACUCUUACUGCAAUACUUUGGCCAUCUGAUGUGAAGAACUGAUUCAUUUGAAAAGACCCUGAUGCUGGGAAAUAUUGAGAGCAGGAGGAGAAGGGGACGACAGAGGAUGAGAUGGUUGGAUGGCAUCACCUACUCAAUGGACAUGGGUUUGGGUAGACUCUGGCAGUUGGUGAUGAACAGGGAGGCCUGGCAUGCUGUGGUUCAUGGGGUCACAAAGAGUCGGACACGACUGAGCAACUGAACUGAACUCCUACUGCUCAUGAUGUUAAGAGGAGGUACAAAGGGACACUAAUAUAUCAAAGGAUGUGGAUGCUGGGAGGAGAGGACCAUAGGAGCCAUUUAAAAAAAAUCCUGUGUAUGUUAUCAUCAUUAUUAGAUACUCUGUGCUUCAGAGAUUAUGUCAACAUGGUCCAGUUCAUAAACAGAACUAUCACCAUGUGUCAGAGGCCUUCUGAUUUCCUUUGUUGUUGCAGUCUUAUUUCUGAAGAACAUCGAACCUCGUUCACUGUAGUGAGUCUGUAA
rnacentral:lncRNA from 1 species